AUUCAUAUUUAGGGGUGUCAAAGUGGGUCAAGAUUUAUGGAUCAACUCAACUCAACGCAACUUUUGAACCCUAAUGAGUUGAAAUUUUUGACUCAAAUGAGUUGAUGGGUCAAAUGAGUUAUUGGGUCAAUUGGUUUGAUGAAUAAAAUGAGUUGGGUUGUAAUGAUUAAUGGUUUCAAUGGUUUACCCAAUUAACCCAUUAACCCAUAACUCAUUUAACCCUAAACUCAUUUGAUUAUGAGUUGAGUUGAGUUGGGUAACCCAUUUUGACACCCCAUAUAACCAAAAGAAUAAAAAAAAAAGAUAAGUUGGAGAGUAGACAGUUUUUGCUAAAAUAAUUUGAAAAGUAGACAUUUUUUUUUAGAGAUAGGAGGCAUAUGUAGUUUUAUCUCUCCUCUCUAAUAGAACUCCCUCUCAAAUACAACUUUUAGUAAAGUACUAUUUUACCCUUCUGUUGUUUUGAUGAAAUAAAAUGGACCUCAUUAAAAGCAGCCCAAUAUCAUCUUCAAUUUCGAAUUGUUCAUGGGCUUGACAUCAACUAAACCCCAUAUUUUCUUAAGUCAUUAGAACCAAACACACUCAUAAACCCUCGUCGUCGACAUCUUCAUCUGUACGGUAAAGACCUCGUCGUUGUCAAAAAAGGAUAAACCCUCGUCGUUGCCAAAAUCAUAGAGACAUUGUCAAUUUCAUACCAGAUGGAAGGUAUGUUUAUCAUAAAACGCUUUAAAGUUUUUGAAUUUUUGCUGUCAGCCAACUAAUAACUUUGACUCUGUUUUCGUUUUUUUUCAGGGGACGAAUCAUGCGUCUCCAUGGUCGGCCGCUGGAUUUGCUACUCGAAUGGUUGGUGGGACUUCAAAAUUGAUAAAACUAGGCCAGGAAAGGGGAAAAUGCUUAAUUAUUUCCUAAAAUAUCCAAAAUGCGCAGAUUAAUUCCCCAAUUACCUCAGACGCAUAAUAAACUCCCAAUUAUACUUUGACGUAGCAAAGUUAGACUUCAUUAUUGUCAACGUUAAAUAUUAAACAUGUCGUUAAAUAUGUCGAUUCUCAUCUUCUUCUUCUCCAAAUCAAAAACCCUAAAUUCCUAAAGCUUUAUCUUUAAACUCGAAACAAUCAACUGUAAAUCUACUUUCCAAACUUAUCUUCCCUAAAUCAAACAUCAAAACCUAAUCCGAUUGGCAAAACGAAAGUUU
rnacentral:sRNA from 1 species